ACUCGAGCGGCGAACGGGUGAGUAACACGUGAGCAACCUGCCCCAGGCUUUGGGAUAACCCCGGGAAACCGGGGCUAAUACCGAAUAUGACCUCCGAUCGCAUGGUUGGUGGUGGAAAGUUUUUCGGCUUGGGAUGGGCUCGCGGCCUAUCAGCUUGUUGGUGGGGUGAUGGCCUACCAAGGCGACGACGGGUAGCCGGCCUGAGAGGGCGACCGGCCACACUGGGACUGAGACACGGCCCAGACUCCUACGGGAGGCAGCAGUGGGGAAUAUUGCACAAUGGGCGGAAGCCUGAUGCAGCGACGCCGCGUGAGGGAUGACGGCCUUCGGGUUGUAAACCUCUUUCAGCAGGGACGAAGCGUAAGUGACGGUACCUGCAGAAGAAGCGCCGGCCAACUACGUGCCAGCAGCCGCGGUAAGACGUAGGGCGCGAGCGUUGUCCGGAUUUAUUGGGCGUAAAGAGCUCGUAGGCGGCUUGUCGCGUCGACUGUGAAAACCCGCAGCUCAACUGCGGGCCUGCAGUCGAUACGGGCAGGCUAGAGUUCGGUAGGGGAGACUGGAAUUCCUGGUGUAGCGGUGAAAUGCGCAGAUAUCAGGAGGAACACCGGUGGCGAAGGCGGGUCUCUGGGCCGAUACUGACGCUGA
rnacentral:rRNA from 1 species